rnacentral:rRNA from 1 species
GACGAACCUGACGAACGUUAUUCGGAAUCACUGGGCUUAAAGGGUGCGUAGGCUGUGCAGAAAGUUGGGUGUGAAAUCCCUCGGCUUAACCGAGGAACUGCGCCCAAAACUACUGUGCUUGAGUGAGAUAGAGGUGAGCGGAACUUAGGGUGGAGCGGUGAAAUGCGUUGAUAUCCUAAGGAACACCGGUGGCGAAAGCGGCUCACUGGGUCUCAACUGACGCUGAUGCACGAAAGCUAGGGUAGCGAACGGG